UAUGACCAUAUCACAUUGAAAAACUAGUUCUCAUACGAUCACCAAAGUUAAGCAAUAUCAAGCCUGGUCUGUUCCCUGAUGGGUGACCACUUGAGAAUACCAGGUGCUGUAA